rnacentral:rRNA from 1 species
CAGCCCUUGACAUGUCCAGGACCGGUCGCAGAGACGUGACCUUCUCUUCGGAGCCUGGAACACAGGUGCUGCAUGGCUGUCGUCAGCUCGUGUCGUGAGAUGUUGGGUUAAGUCCCGCAACGAGCGCAACCCCCGUCCUUAGUUGCUACCAUUUAGUUGAGCACUCUAAGGAGACUGCCGGUGAUAAGCCGCGAGGAAGGUGGGGAUGACGUCAAGUCCUCAUGGCCCUUACGGGCUGGGCUACACACGUGCUACAAUGGCGGUGACAAUGGGAUGCUAAGGGGCAACCCUUCGCAAAUCUCAAAAAGCCGUCUCAGUUCGGAUUGGGCUCUGCAACUCGAGCCCAUGAAGUUGGAAUCGCUAGUAAUCGUGGAUCAGCACGCCACGGUGAAUA